CACCAAGUUUCUGAACCAAAUUGCCGUAGACGUCAAGGUAGGGGCAAAAUCGUCCAACUUUUUCUGUAAAAUCUGAAACAAAAAACAAACGACAUCAGUGCGUUCAGGACGUCAAAAUAAGUAAACUGCCCGAAAAAAGCUCGCCGGAGGUCCGGCCACGCGCCGCCGCCGGUCACGCGCCCCACCACAGGGUGCGCCUCCUCCUGCUGGUCAUGGUUCCAUGGUCCAUUUCGCCGGAAAGUCAAUAGGUUGGCCGGAAAUCAAGUUUUUCAGAUUCGGUUAGAAUGUGG
rnacentral:lncRNA from 1 species